ACGUAGGUGGCAAGCGUUGUCCGGAAUUAUUGGGCGUAAAGCGCGCGCAGGCGGUUUCUUAAGUCUGAUGUGAAAGCCCACGGCUCAACCGUGGAGGGUCAUUGGAAACUGGGAGACUUGAGUGCAGAAGAGAAGAGCGGAAUUCCACGUGUAGCGGUGAGAUGCGUAGAGAUGUGGAGGAACACCAGUGGCGAAGGCGGCUCUUUGGUUUGUAACUGACGCUGAGGCGCGAAAGCGUGGGGAGCGAACAGGA
rnacentral:rRNA from 1 species